CACGUAGGGCGCAAGCGUUGUCCGGAAUUAUUGGGCGUAAAGAGCUCGUAGGCGGUCUGUUGCGUCCGCUGUGAAAACUCGGGGCUUAACCCCGAGCCUGCAGUGGAUACGGGCAGACUAGAGGUAGGUAGGGGAGAAUGGAAUUCCCGGUGUAGCGGUGAAAUGCGCAGAUAUCGGGAGGAACACCGGUGGCGAAGGCGGUUCUCUAGUACGUGACUGACGCUGAGACGCGAAAGCGUGGGGAGCGAACAGG
rnacentral:rRNA from 1 species